UGGGGAAUUUUGCACAAUGGGGGAAACCCUGAUGCAGCGACGCCGCGUGAUUUAGAAGGCCUUCGGGUUGUAAAAAUCUUCUCUAUGGGAAGAAAAUGACAGUACCAUAGGAAUAAGGACCGGCUAAUUACGUGCCAGCAGCCGCGGUAAUACGUAAGGUCCGAGCGUUGUCCGGAAUCAUUGGGCGUAAAGGGUACGUAGGCGGGUAAGCAAGUUAGAAGUGAAAUCCUAUAGCUCAACUAUAGUAAGCUUUUAAAACUGCUCAUCUUGAGGUAUGGAAGGGAAAGUGGAAUUCCUAGUGUAGCGGGGAAAUGCGCAGAUAUUAGGAGGAAUACCGGUGGCGAAGGCGACUUUCUGGCCAUAACCUGACGCUGAGGUACGAAAGCGUGGGUAGCAAACAGG
rnacentral:rRNA from 1 species